UUCAAUGGAGGGUCAGAAAGCUCUCAGACUAAAUCUAAAAUAUCUUAAACUGUGUUUCGAAGAUGAACGGAGGUCUUACCCUCAUGUCGUUCCAAACUCGUGAGUCAUUAAUUACAUUAUUUUCAUUUUUGGGUGAACUCUCCCUUUAAUUACAUGCUCAUACUUUAAUUAUGCCUGAUAAGAAUUUGUAAUAUUUGUGUUUAAACAUUUUUCGAAUUUUAAUCCUUGUUUUUAAAUGGCCAUGACAGUGACAAAAAGGAAGCAGCCUUCUCUAGCCCACCCAAGUUUCCAUCAAAGGAGCAAGCCUAUGACAGUAAGAAGAAAGCUGGCUAACCCUCCCACCCCUUGUUUAACUCCUCCAGCCCAUCCCACAUCAUUGUAGAGUGAAGAGACUGCGGUUAAUAUUCAGAAAGAGGCGCAGAGAACUGAAGGCUUUCCUGACUUGACACCGAAUAAUAACGAAGGCCUGUGUGCUUUGCAGCAGCCUCCACGUCACCCUCUUCCAGUGCUCCGUCAGAGGACUAACGAUAUGCCACAAGAUGAUUGGCAGCAAGACACACCCAGUGAUGAAGGGAUGUGCUCUCCUUAAAUCACAGCCUAUUCAUCAGGUACUCCUGAGUGCUGUGUUAAGAAAUCCUGCCUACAAAGUUCCACUGAGGCUGAUAUAAAGAUGACUGUGAGAAACUGGCUGCGGCUGUCUGAGCAGAGACAGGAAUGGGGGCGGCAAAGGCGGGACAAGCAAGCAUCUUAAGUGAAAUAAUUGAUUGGACUGAUUCUGGAGUAUGACUUAUUCUGGAGGGAAUUUCUUAUUUUUGUUGCAGUUUGCUAUGGGACGGUUUCAAGGACAGGGAUUAGACUAGUUCUAGACUAAAAUAAAUGUAAGAGCUGUCCAAACUGAAAACAACUUGCACUGACAUAUCAUAAAAUACAUCAGUGUCUUUUGUGAUGCUUCAAAAUGCACACAAGUAAUGUUUUUAUUAAGACAUGUUAUUAAAACUAGUUAUAUUUCAGAAUUAAACUAAGGCCUAGUCCCGGUUUAAGAUAAUCCCUGUCCGGGAAACCACCCCAAAGUGUAAUUUGUGGAGUGUUAAAAUAAAUGAAACUGCCUUUGCAAAAACAAAGUAAAAAAAAAUUUCCAGAUGCC